UCUUUGCAUCUGCACAAAUCAGAUGUUAGAGGACCAAAAUGUGCUGUCUAUAACCACAGGCAAAAUCACCUUCAACAUGCAUGAAGGCACUGGCAUUACAUGGAAUGACCCAGUAUUAACGAUGGGAGUCUAAGCCCAGAAGAUAUUUGAAGUCAAGUCCCUGUUCUGCUCCAUAUUUUCUUGUGCAAUCCCCCAUGGACUCACAUUUCCAAAGGGACUGGCACUUGUGAAUAUUCCCACUUUGGAGCAAUCACCGAGAGACCAUUAUGAGGAUAUGAUUUUUGGAAAAUGCUAAAUGCUCAUGUUCUCAGAAUAAGAUCUCUUUAAAGUGUUCCCAAA